rnacentral:rRNA from 1 species
UACAGAGGUGGCAAGCGUUGUUCGGAAUUACUGGGCGUAAAGGGCGCGUAGGCGGUUCGAUAAGUCCCGUGUGAAAUCCCUCGGCUCAACUGAGGAACUGCACGGGAAACUGACGGGCUUGAGUUCGGGAGAGGGAAGCGGGAAUUCCGGGUGUAGCGGUGAAAUGCGUAGAUAUCCGGAGGAACACCGGUGGCGAAGGCGGCUCCUGGACCGACACUGACGCUGAGGCGCGAAAGCUAGGGGAGCAAACGGGAUUGAGAA